AAUUGUAGCUUGCUACAUGACCUAGCGGCGGAGUAAUACUUAGGAAUCUGCCUAUUAGUGGGGGACAACGUUCCGAAAGGAGCGCUAAUACCGCAUACGCCCUACGGGGGAAAGCAGGGGAUCUUCGGACCUUGCGCUAAUAGAUGAGCCUAAGUCGGAUUAGCUAGUUGGUAGGGUAAAGGCCUACCAAGGCGACGAUCUGUAGCGGGUUUGAGAGGAUGAUCCGCCACACUGGGACUGAGACACGGCCCAGACUCCUACGGGAGGCAGCAGUGGGGAAUAUUGGACAAUGGGCGCAAGCCUGAUCCAGCCAUGCCGCGUGUGUGAAGAAGGCCUUAUGGUUGUAAAGCACUUUAAGCGAGGAGGAGGCUUACCUGGUUAAUACCUAGGAUAAGUGGACGUUACUCGCAGAAUAAGCACCGGCUAACUCUGUGCCAGCAGCCGCGGUAAUACAGAGGGUGCAAGCGUUAAUCGGAAUUACUGGGCGUAAAGCGCGCGUAGGUGGCCAUUUAAGUCAAAUGUGAAAUCCCCGAGCUUAACUUGGGAAUUGCAUUCGAUACUGGGUGGCUAGAGUAUA
rnacentral:rRNA from 1 species